AACAGAAGCAGGGUAUCCCAAAGCCUUUGAGAAGAUAUGCAUUCUUUGCAGCUCUUGUGGGCACUCCAAGAAGGCUCACAGGCUGGGUCACACACCUGGAGACCUGUGGGAUGCACACACAACUCCUUUUCAGCAGGAGAAUACCAUCAACAACUGCCAGUUUGGGGAUGCUGUGCUGGGGACAGCUACAAACUAGUUUGUGACUUCCUACUGUAGGACUACAAACCUCAGCUGAAAACCCAAAAUCUGCCAGAACAGCCUUUCAGUCCCAUCCCCUCGGAACAAGCUGAGCUGAAGUGGGAGUGACAGCACAAACAGAUUUGAUUCCUCCCAGACUUUCCUGCACAGACUUUGCAGUGAUUUAAAACACACUUUCACUGAUGCAGCUCCCAUGCAGGUGCUGACAAAUCAGCAUUCCUGCAGGCACUGGCCAGCAGAGGUGGCUGUACCUGCCUUCCCUGGAGCCACAGAACACUGAGCAAGGCCAUGGCUCUGCAUGCAGCACUGAUGUCUGCUCUGGGAUACCCCAAGGAUGCUCUGAGUGAAUCCAUAGUUUCCUAUGGCACCUUAAUUCCUGCAGAGCAUGGAACACUCCCUCUGCUAAAACAGAACACCACUAGUAAAUAUUUUGCUUACAAAAAGGGUGCUCAUUUUGCCCAAAACACCACUGCAGAAAGCACUAUGGUGUUAUUCAAAAGCUCUGAGACACAAUGUAUGUGUCACACACGCAGGCACCAUCUUGCUUAACAUCAUGCAGACAGCAGUACCAGACCAUCUCUCCCUCCAGGAGCUGCAACUCCCACAUCCUCAAACUGGCUACGGCAGCGCUACACCGCCGGCUGAGAGAGAAAUAUGUCUUGGAGAGAUCACAUCUGCAAGGCACAGAAGGGUGAGGGUAAAGCUGACAGAGACUGCAGCAAAGCAAAGCCUGCAAAGGUCUGCUCUUGAUCUGCUUGUGGCUCACACACAAUCCCCAUGGAUCCCAUCCCAGUGCCAGCACGGGGCACUGCAGCCAAGAGGAGCUGCUGAGGCCGACAGCACAGCUUUAGGAACCCAAAAAGGGAUGAUCUUUGCUAUGCAGAAAAUACAGCUUGAUUUGUGUCUCAUGAGAAUGACUGAUGCACUGGGGAAGUGUCAUGACGAAGGAAGAAGGGAUGGGAGGUGGAUUUAAAAUCACAUAAUAGCUAUUUAUGGCCACGAGAUGGCAUUCCUGCCCCAGAGAUGUCCCUCCACCAUGCCUGCACCCAGCCCAGGACCACACACCCCUCCCAGACCACUGCACCCCAGGCUGGACUCUGCUACAGAAAUCCCACAGCUGGCUUGGAUGCAAAAUUGUGGCAGUGCUAGUCACCACAAUCUUUUGGGUAUUAACAGGAAAAAAUUAAAAAAAAAAAUUAAGUUGCAUGCUUACUUUCCAUGAUUUAAAUGAUGACUGCUUUUCAAAUGCCUAUGCUCUUGUUCAAUAUUAUCACAAUUAGAGAAGAAAAACUCAGCAGGGGGAAAUGGCAGU